rnacentral:rRNA from 1 species
GACGUAGGGGGCCAGCGUUGUUCGGAAUUACUGGGCGUAAAGGGUUCGUAGGCGGUGCGGCAAGUCGGGAGUGAAAUCUCUGGGCUUAACCCAGAGGCUGCUUCCGAAACUGCUGUGCUUGAGUGUGGGAGUGGCGCGUGGAAUUGCAGGUGUAGCGGUGAAAUGCGUAGAUAUCUGCAGGAACACCCGUGGCGAAAGCGGCGCGCUGGACCACUACUGACGCUGAGGAACGAAAGCGAGGGGAGCAAACAGG